AGUUUCAUUGCCCUUCUCUGGAUAGAUUCCGAGGACUCAAUGUCUUUCUUGUAGUGAGGGGCCCAAAACUGAACACAGUACUUGAGGUGCAGCCUCACCAGUGCUGAGUACAGGGAGAUGAUUACCUCCCUGCUCCUGCUGGUCAUGCUAUUUUUAAUGCAGGCCAGGAUGGCAUUGGCCCUCUUGGGCACCUGGGCCCACUGUCCGCUCAUGUUUAGCCAAGCAUCAACCAACACCCCCAGGUCCCUUUCCUACUCUCAGUCAUCCAGUCACUCAGCCCCAAGCCUAUAGCAUUGCAUGGGGUUGUUGUAGACAAAGUGCAGGAGCCGGCAGUUGGCCUUGUUGAACCUCAUCCCAUCCACCUCAGCCCAGCUAUCCAGCUUAUCUAGAUCCCUCUGAAGUGCCUCCCUACCAUCAGGCAGAUCGACAUCACCUCCCAGCUUGGUGGUACACUCAAUCCCUUCAUCUAGGUCAUCAAUAAAGAUAUUAAACAAGAUGGGCCCCAGUACCAACUCCUUGGGGACACCACUUGAAACUGGUUGCCAGCUGGACUUAAGUCCAUUAACUACUAUCCAUUGGGCACGGCCCUCUAGCCAGUUUCUUACCCAAGGAAGGGUAUAUCUGUCCAGGCCACCAACAUCAUUUAGUCCAGCCAUUAACCCAUCACCCCAUUCCACUAAACUGUGUGCCUCUGUGCCACAUCUACCCUUUUCUUGAAUACCUCCAAGGGACAGUGACUCCACUACCUCCUCAGACUUGGGAGACUUCGAUCCCGUAAGAAAUUUCUUCUCAGCCUUUUGCAACAAGAGAACUACUAGCUCUCAGUACAUUUCAGAUGAGCCAAGUC
ensembl:lncRNA